rnacentral:tRNA from 1 species
GGGGCCAUAGCUCAGUGGUAGAGCGCUCGAUUGCGAAUCGAGAGGCGGGGGUUCAAGUCCCCUUAGCUCGCC